GUAGGUGGCAAGCGUUGUCCGGAAUUAUUGGGCGUAAAGCGCGCGCAGGCGGUUCUUUAAGUCUGAUGUGAAAGCCCACGGCUCAACCGUGGAGGGUCAUUGGAAACUGGAGAACUUGAGUACAGAAGAGGAAGGCGGAAUUCCACGUGUAGCGGUGAAAUGCGUAGAGAUGUGGAGGAACACCAGUGGCGAAGGCGGCUUUCUGGUCUGUAACUGACGCUGAGGCGCGAAAGCGUGGGGAGCAAACAGGAUUAGAUACCCUGGUAGCCCACGCCGUAAACGAUGAGUGCUAAGUGUUAGGGGGGUUUUCCGCCCCCCUUAGUGCUGCAGCUAACGCAUUAAGCACUCCGCCUGGGAGUACGGCCGCGAGGCUG
rnacentral:rRNA from 1 species